CCCCCGGAAGUGACGGAACGGAGACGCGCGGUAGAUUAAGGGAGGGGGCCCGGUGGGGAGAGCCGGAAACCCUUCAGCGUACCUGGCGCGCUUUCUCACUGCGCAUCCUUCACUGCGCAUCUCCCCAUUGCGCAUCCUUCACUGCGCAUCCGACCUCCUCCAGAAAGAUCUGUUCUGGCUGGGAUGGCUGGUGGGAGAGUAAGCCAACUGAACAAACCCUGCUCCUUUUUCAGAUGAAGAAAAGUGACUUGCCCAAGGUCACACCGGUUACUUUGUGAUAAGUAAAAAUUGAACCCAGGACCUGUCCUCAAAGCCAGGAGCCUUUUCCAUUAAGCCGCUGGACUGGCAAGUGCAAAGGAGAUUCAAUGUAGCAUACUAGAUAGUGUUGGAUUUGGGGGCAGCUACCUAGCUCACAAUUGAGAGCCAAAUCUAGAAGCAGCAGAUCCUGGGUUGAAAUUGGAUCUCAGAUACUUUAUAGCUGUGUGACUCUGGGCAAGUCAGUGAAACCCUUCUACCUUGGAACUAAUGCACAGUAUUGAUCCUAAGAGGUUAGGUAAUUAAAAAAAAUUAAAAACAAAAAAAGGAAAAAAUGUUGAAUGUGUGAAGAGUGAAUUAAACUCUUUGUCUAUCAAUCAGUGACUUUUAAGUCAAUCAAAAAUAAAAUAAAAAACUUAAGUACCCCAACUUACUCCUUCACUAAGUAUGAGAGUUCACAAGUCACUUGCUAGAGUAGGUGACAACUCCAGAGGUCACUGCCUCUACACCCCCCCCCACCUCCAAUGCUAGGCAAAUUGAAAGACUGCCAUUGGUUCCUGUAAAGUGGGGAAGGAACAGGAAGGGACAUAGAAAAAGGACAUAAAAAGUACUGAACUUCCUGUCCAAGGCACUUCUUUUCCUUUGGAGUUCUUUGGAGUCUCCGCUCCUUGGAUCUUCUCCUUUGGAUUUCUUCUUUGGAGGAUGGCUCCUUGGGGCUUUUGGACUUCAACUUCAACUUGGAGCUUUGGGCCUUUCAACUGGAGUUUUUGGCUUCGGAACUUUGACUCUCAGCUUUGGAGCUUCUUGGAGUCAGGGACUUUCUUGUUGGUUUCACUGCUGCCUUGGUGAGCUUAGCUCAGGAGGGUUUUUCUGCAUUGAGACCUUGCCUGGAUUCUGCCCAGCUUGCUGUUCCCCAGGUAACAACAUGUCUCCUGGGCCUUUGAAAUCAAUCACAAGUUGAUAUAUCAGUCAUCCCUGAAGAGAGAAGCAAUGUAACUCAGUUGAAAAAAAUGUUGGAUGGAGUUGUGAAGAACUUGUUCAAAUCUCAGCUCUGCCACUUUCUGGUGUGGGAUCCUAGGAAAUUGCCUCAGCCACCUCAGCCUUGAGCAGUUGCCACCCUGAUCAGUCAGCAACCUUCAUCAACACUGGAGCAAGACCCUCCACCAGCAAAAAAGAUUAUUCUAACUUAUUGAAGGCUCAGAUGGUGCUUCGCAUUUUUAGCAGUAAAAUGUUUUUAUUUUUUCAAUAAAGUAUCUUAAGAUUAAGGUAUGAACAUUUUUUAGGUAUAAUGCUAUUGCACACUCAACAGACUAUAGUAGAGUGUGAACACAAUUUUUAUAUGCACUGAGCAACCAAAAAAUUCAUGUGUCUUGCUUUUUUUGAGAUAUUUGUUUUAUUGCGGUGAUCUACCACUGGACCCACAAUAACUCUACUGAUCUUAACUUUGAUUAAAUAAAGUGUAUACAUGUUUUCUUUC